GCCCAACACGUUGCCAGCAUGUCCUCCGGGAGUGAUGGGGACACUGUUGGGACCGCCGCUGCUAAAGCGGAGGAAGGAAUGGGCAACGGUAGGUCAGUAUGCCCCGAAUAUCCCGGGCUACACGCGAGCUACAAUGGUUGGUACAAUGGGUAUCUACCCCGAAAGGGGAUGGAAAUCUCCUAAAGCCAAUCUUAGUUCGGAUUGAGGGCUGCAACUCGCCCUCAUGAAGCUGGAAUCCGUAGUAAUCGCGUUUCAACAGAACGCGGUGAAUACGUCCCUGCUCCUU
rnacentral:rRNA from 1 species